rnacentral:misc_RNA from 1 species
GAAAUGCGAUAAUUAAUGUGAAUUGCAGAAUUCAGUGAAUCAUCGAGUCUUUGAACGCACAUUGCGCCCCCUGGUAUUCCGGGGGGCAUGCCUGUCCGAGCGUCAUUGCUGCCCUCAAGCACGGCUUGUGUGUUGGGCUUCCGUCCCUGGCAACGGGGACGGGCCCAAAAGGCAGUGGCGGCACCAUGUCUGGUCCUCGAGCGUAUGGGGCUUUGUCACCCGCUCCCGUAGGUCCAGCUGGCCGCUAGCCUCGCAACCAAUCUUUUUAACCAGGUUGACCUCGGAUCAGGUAGGGAUACCCGCUGAACUUAAGC